AACUUUAAUUUUCUGCACUUGGUGAUCGACUUCUGAGUUUUUGUGCUGAUUCUCAUUUGACUUUAUUUUUGUUGCAAAGAAAAACAUCACCAGCGAGUAGUGUGCUACAAGUCACUAGGCUCUUAGAACUUGAUGUUUCAAAUUUAGUGUUCCAUCCCGCUUGUGUGAUUUCUGCUAUUUUAACUUCUUUAUGUACAGAAACAGUGAGAUGGCCACGAAAAGGAGAUGAAAGUAUACUGUUAUACAUAUGUGGUCGAUUGCUUUUACUACAGCAAGAUCCUGUUGUUAAGACAUCGGAUAUUACCAACAAUAAUACUCAG